rnacentral:rRNA from 1 species
ACGAACGCUGGCGGCGUGCUUAACACAUGCAAGUCGAACGGUGAAGCGCCUUCCUUUUUGGUGGGUGUGGAUGAGUGGCGAACGGGUGAGUAACACGUGAGUAACCUGCCCCCUUCUUCUGGAUAACCGCAUGAAAGUGUGGCUAAUACGGGAUAUUCUGGGUCUGUCGCAUGAUGGGUCUGGGAAAGAUAUUGUUUCGGUGGGGGAUGGGCUCGCGGCCUAUCAGCUUGUUGGUGGGGUGAUGGCCUACCAAGGCGGUGACGGGUAGCCGGCCUGAGAGGGUGGACGGUCACACUGGGACUGAGACACGGCCCAGACUCCUACGGGAGGCAGCAGUGGGGAAUAUUGCACAAUGGGCGCAAGCCUGAUGCAGCGACGCCGCGUGAGGGAUGGAGGUCUUCGGGUUGUGAACCUCUUUCGCCAGUGAAGCAGGCCUGCCUCGUUUGUGGGUGGGUUGACGGUAGCUGGAUAAGAAGCGCCGGCUAACUACGUG